CCCUUAGAUGUUCUGGGCGGCCCGCGCACUACAAUGGCGUGUGCAGCGAGUGCCGAAGUAGAGUUUUCCGAGGUAUUCUUGCAAUGCUCGUUUUGAUGGGGAUAGACCCUUGCAACUGUUGGUUUUGAACGAGGAAUUCCUUGUAAGCAUGGUUUAUCAUCCGACGCUGAAUGCGUCCCUGUCCUUUGUACACACCGCCCGUCGCUCCUACCGAUGAGUCGUCCGGUGAAGUUCGUAGACCUCGUGAUCGCGGAUCACUGGGGGAAGCAAAAUGAACCUCGCGGUUUAGAGGAAGGAGAAGUCGUAACA
rnacentral:rRNA from 1 species